GUACACCGCGCUGCUCGGCAGGCGAAGCCCGGCCACCGCUCACACCUGAGGGGGACACGCUUUGGUUUCACCGCAGGCGGCAUAAAACUGCAGGGAGCGCAGUGGUGUAACUAACUUCAAGAUGCUCGAUUUGGAUACUGCCGUACCCUGUUUCCAGCAGAGUGAGGAAAGCCCGAGUGCUCUGCGGUGAGAGCUGGCAGGCAGAGGAGAGCAGCACAGGUCACAGCAGCACAGCAGCACUGCCACCAGAGCCCUGCGAGGGACCACGCACAGUGGCCAUUCCCUUCAGGAUGCAAAGAACAGCAGAAGUCAGGCAACUUGGGCUUAACUGCUUCUGCUCAUUGACUCUUUUUUCCACUUUAAUAUCCUUUACUGUGAGAAAAAUAAACAAGUGUGGACUCCGUACAGGAUUUUUAGGUUUUUAAAUUUGGAGACUGCAGCAGACCUUUUGCUUCCUUUCAGUUAUCCCGAUCAAGAGAUAGUGGUUGGAAAAGAAGAUCUCAGAACAGAUUUGGGGUCCAAUGGUGUUGGAAGAAUAUCCAGUUAACCCAUUUCCAUCUACAGGAAUUUCUUCAACUAACUUUUUUCAUCUUCCCAUUCUUAAUCCCAUCAAGUGUUACGCCAGCUAAUUCUCUCUUUUUCCAAGCACAAGUAUUAUUAAUUAAUCAGAAUAGAGUCCUAUAAAUGCUCAUAUUUCAACUUUAUAGAUCAUGCUGGCUACCUCUGCCAUUAAUAAAACUACUUGCACAAUGUGGAAUCAAUGUACAAAGCCCCUAUCUGUUAGAACCGAGCCAUCAUACUCCAUUAAGUUCCAGUCAGAUUACAGCUUCUCUGUACCUUGUUCCACACCACAUGUCAGUCUAAUACUGCUAUACUCCUUUUUGGUCAAAUAUUAAUAUAUUAGUUUUAGCUUCUAAUAUUACCUUCCCUAUGAACUUGCUACAGAGAGGCCACGCUCAAUACCACUGAUCCCUCGAGACCAGUCUGAGGGGGAUCUGGUGUCCAGUGUAGCUGUUCAGGAUACUUCCUGAGACUCGUAAGACAGGUUCCUAAAGCAGUGGUAAAACUGCUAAAGUGGUAGUGGUAAAGGGCAUUCACAACUAAUUACAGGUAAAUUCUUGACAAAUUUGAGAGCAAACCACAAAAAUCUUAACUCCAAUGCUAGCCAUGUGACCAAAGAGCUCUGUGAGUCAAGUACCCCAUGGAAGGGAUAUUUUAACAUACUUUAAUCUUCACAAGUUUCCAUAAAACUACCUUCAAGUCAGCCAAGACACAGCUAUGCCAUAUCCUGCAACAUCAAGUAUCAUGAAGAUGCUGCAGUCUCUCCCUCAAUAUAUCCCACUUGCUGCAUAACUGCUCCCAAUACCUGACAACAUUUUUCCAAUUGUUGGUUCAGCAGGUUAGAGGAAGCUGUCUUCUGGCAGAGAAAGACAAAUGCUAAUACAGCUAUACCCUUUCCUAGCAAAUAAUUUAUCUGAAUUAGAUUAAGCUUUUCUGGUCUCCUCCACCUACCCAGGGCUUGGGUUAAAUUCCAGGGUUACCUACCCAGCCCCUGCUGUACAAACGGGACACAGCUGAGUAAACAGCUCUGCCCUCCUAACAUACAGCAGUGGGACUCAGAAAAAUGAACAGGCUGAUUCCUUGGACUCCUGACACCCCUACAACAGUGACCGUUAUAACUGAUACUCAAAGUCAGUCUUGAAUGAUAAAGGCAGAUACUAUAACUUUAAAAUACAUACAGAGGUUAAUUUAGAGGGCAUUUGUACAGACAGCCCAUCAAACAUAACUAGGAAGUCAGAUGAGCAAGUGAGAAAACUGUGACUUCUGCUUCAACAUACUUAAUCUGACAUUGCUUUAACUAUAAUAUUUAUCAAUUUAGGAUACAGCACUACAGAAAAAUAUUGAGAAGUUUUUCUAAAGAGUACCAAGAGUUCUCCUCUGCUCUCCACAGUGUACAGUGAAAUACAUAUUGACACUGAGUGCAUCAUCAGAUCUGUAUUGAAACCACAUUGAUAACACAACUUAAUUCAAUUCUUAGAAACAGCACAUUGUCAACUCUGAUAGCAGCACAAGUAAAGCAUUGUUAUUCUACAAAGCCUUGAAACCUGUUUUUUUAAAACAUUUCAACUCUGAAUUUGGCUUCUGCUUGACUAAUAGAUUUUUAAAAAGCCUACUAGUAUUCAGGGCCUUUUGUUAGAAUAGAUUUGAUAAGAUUUUAGAAGUAAAUACCAAUAAACAGUAGAGGUUUAGUUGUUUGGGGUUUUUUCUUUCAGCCAUUAUCUUUACAAAUAUGAACUUGGUGUUAAGCAACUUCUUAAGUCAGCAGUGUAGGCUAAGGAUGGCAACCAAUUGACAAAGAAUGCCUGAAACUAUAUUUGUCUGAUUAAGUUCCUUUAGAUAAAACCAACUAUUUAUCUACAAACAACUUAUGUGUCAAUCACGAUUCUCAAAAAUCCUACAAAACUAAAACCUUACAAAGAGAGGAUGAAGAACUAAAAUUUCCUAUCCCCAAGAUACGAAGAACAGUCAUGAGCUCAUCAGGUACUGGUUUUAUAGCCUCCCCCUGUUUAACAGGCAGUGAAGUCCUUAUCUCUUUCUACAGUAUAACAACCAUCUUCUCACCCUCCCCCCUCCACUGAAGGAAUAUCAUACCAGCAAGCUCCUCUUUGGCAGUUCUAUGCAUGUCUGAUUAAACAGAGCAGUUUUUCA